rnacentral:lncRNA from 1 species
GCAGCAGACACGGCAAACUUCGGUGGGGGACAUGCUUGUGUCGACAGGCAGACUGCAUUUCAGUUAAUUAAGGGGCUGUAAUUGUUGUCCAGGACAAGGGUCCCCAGGGCACAGGCUUUGUAAAUAACUAGCCUCCACUGCCCCCACCUCUUGCCCUGGCCAUCCCUGCCCACGCUUCUUCCCAGGCCUCCGCAGCCAGGUACAAAAGAAGCCACAUUAGCACAGCCUUUGAAGCUUGCCUUUGAAAUCCUCACUCCUGGGUUUGUGCCAGACGAGCUCAGACAUCAUUGCUCCCCAACCACCACGGAUGCCACUGCGGGCUUCUGGCUUCCAACCUGUGAUCAAUGUGUCGUGGCCCCACCCCGCCGUGCAGUCUUUCUAGUCCCCAGGUUGGGAGUAACUGCCACUGAGGACACAAAGGGACCUCAGCAGGGCACGAGCUCCCGUUUCAGAGGACUCCAAAUAUGUACCAACCAUCUAUCACCUGCCAGGUGUGUCCCACAUGUGGAUGGCCUCAUUUCUUCCCUGCUGCUGUUGUGGUAGCCUAAGUCCCAGUUUACAGACAAGGAAACUGAGAUUUUGAGAAGUUAAACAACGUAUCCCAGGAUUUAGGAUUGAAGCGCUUCUGAUCCCCAUUGGAAAGUCUUUUAUCUAAAAGAUCACUUCCAGUUCCUUAUCACAAUGAACAACUAUGCUUCCGCCCCCCAAGCCAACAUGUCAUGAAAGGC